rnacentral:rRNA from 1 species
GAUCCUGGCUCAGAAUCAACGCUGGCGGCGUGCCUAACACAUGCAAGUCGCACGAGAAAGGGUAGCAAUACCUGAGUAAAGUGGCGCACGGGUGAGUAACACGUGAAUCAUCUACCUCCGAGUGGGGAAUAACUGAGAGAAAUCUUAGCUAAUACCGCAUAACACUUACGAGUCAAAGCAGCAAUGCGCUUGGAGAGGAGUUCGCGGCAGAUUAGUUAGUUGGCGGGGUAAUGGCCCACCAAGACGAUGAUCUGUAUCCGGCCUGAGAGGGCGCACGGACACACUGGAACUGAAACACGGUCCAGACUCCUACGGGAGGCAGCAGUGGGGAAUUUUGCGCAAUGGGGGAAACCCUGACGCAGCAACGCCGCGUGGAGGAUGAAAUCCCUUGGGAUGUAAACUCCUUUCGAUAGGGAAGAUAAUGACGGUACCUAUAGAAGAAGCCCCGGCUAACUUCGUGCCAGCAGCCGCGGUAAUACGAGGGGGGCAAGCGUUGUUCGGAUUUAUUGGGCGUAAAGGGUGCGUAGGCGGUUUGGCAAGUCUUGUGUGAAAUCUUUGGGCUCAACCCAAAGUCUGCACAAGAAACUGCCGGGCUUGAGUAUGGGAGAGGUGAGUGGAAUUUCCGGUGUAGCGGUGAAAUGCGUAGAUAUCGGAAGGAACACCUGUGGCGAAAGCGGCUCACUGGACCAU